AAAGUAGUUGUGACUAUGGACGUGGAAGGAAGAAAACAAUCAGAUACUUUUCUUUUUAAAUGUGAUUAAAUAAACAACAGAAAUAAAGUUUAUACUCUCUUUAUAGAAAUUGUUUUAAAAGAACACAAAGAAGAAUGUUGUCUAACGUGAUUAACAACAUGUAGAAUGCGCUUAAAUCAUAUAUAAUAAAAAUUAAGUGAAAAGCGAAAAGAAGGUUUCCAAUAAUGGUAGAAAUAAAACUAAAACAUAAUUGACUAACUAUUUUAUAUAACUAUAAUAGUGAAAGCGAAAAUCCACAAAUGGAAUCGAAUAUUAUCAUCAACGAUGAAUACGAACACUUAGAUAAUUGUAUCGAAUAUAUCUUAGAAAAUGUGCUCUUUAAAGAAACGCAUCAAGACGUAGAAUAUAUGCAAUUGCAAGACGAUUACAAUUCUACCUUAAUAAGUAAAUGUCACUGCAGUGGGCUAAGCUGUCUUCGCGAUGUCGAUUGCAAUCAUGGAGGUAAUUAUGUGAAGGAUUCUCAAAGUGAAGAGCUUGUAUUAAAUCCGGAAAAGCUUCAAGAAUUAAUUUAUGAAUGCACUUCGUUAUGUGCUUGUGAGCAAAAGAAAUGUGUAAACCGUUUGGUACAGUAUGGACCCAGAAAUAAUUUGAAGAUCAUUUACUCCGAAAGAUAUCAAUCAAAAGGUUUGACAACUACUGAAACUAUACCAAAAGGGGCUUUUAUAUGUGAAUAUGCCGGUGAACUAUUAACAAGACAGGAAGCUCAAAAGCGUAUGCAAGAAAAUGAUACAAGACAAAGAAUGAAUUAUGUUUUAAGCCUUUGUGAGUACAUAUCGAAUGGUGGCGGAACAACGAAUAAAGUCUUAUUAACCACGGUCGAUCCGAGUCGGAAAGCCAUAUUUUCUAAGAAUUUUAUAAAAGCUGGCGAAGAACUUUGCUUUCAUUAUAAUGAAGGCAUAAUACAAAAAAAUCAACCUACAGCUCAAGGCCAAAAAGGGAUACUUUGUCUCUGUGGUGCCAAAAAUUGUGAAAAAUAUUUGCCCAAUUUUAAAAUUCAUUUCGACCAAUAUACAUAGAAUCUGCCGUUUGCAGAGAUGACAUGUUGUAUUAAGUGAGAAUGAAAUACGAAUGCAAUUUUGUACUUAAAAGAUGUGAAGAACGAUCAAUGGGGUAUGGAAAAUUUCAAUUGGACAUUUGAAUCGUGAACAAAUUAUCAAAUUUUGCGGGCCACGUGUUUCCCUUUAUUAAAUAUCACUACAGCAAAAAACAGCUGGAAGACUUAACAACCGAAAGUAGCUUUUUUAAUUUUCCCAAAAUUGUCGAUUUACGUAAAAUUGAAAAAAAAAAGGAUUUAAUGUGAAUGUAUAAUUUUACCUUAAAGGUUUGCCAAUGUCCUUUUAGGAAUGGCUGGAAUGUGUCUUAGAAAAAACACAGAAUGGGUAGUUAUGCCGAACGAUAAAAGUUCAUGCUAUUAUAUAUAGAAGAAGGUAAGUAAUAUUCCUUUUCUAUUGUGUGUCAAUAUUUGUUUUUUCAAAGUUAACUCCUUAAAAAAUAAAAAUAUAAUUGGCAAGUAAUUUAUUUCCGGGUAAAGUAGAUUACUGCGCUUUAGCCUUUCAUUAGUAACUUAUAGGGCGGGAAGGAUAAUUGUAGAAACUAGUUUUUGCGCUCCAUUCUACGCUCCUCUCAGGUGGCCUAACCAUAUCCAAUCUUGAUAUCUGUUUCUAGAAAUCUUAAAAUCGUAUGCACUUAUCAUUAAUCAAUUAAGAUAGACCUAGCUCAAAAGAAUUUAAAAAUUAAGGCAAAAAUAUCGUGUUUAUAGGUCAAUUUUUGUUUAUAGAAUGAAUUAGAUAUAUAUGCAAAAUUAUAGAAAAACUGGAAAACAUAAGGAAAAGCUUCCUCAAAGCAGAUGCGAUAAAGAUAAAAGUGCAAGGUUGAACAUUGCCCCAAAAGUUUUUAUAAAACAUAAGCCUGUAUUUGUUAUAAUAUCAUGGAAGUUAGUUGCAAAUGGUAGCUUUUCUACUUAAGAACUGUUCGGAAUUAUUAGCCCUUAUAUGGCAGUAUAGCGUUUGUUUGCAUUUUUAUAAUUUUCUUGCAGCGUAAAUGAAUAUAUUAUGAAGUUUUCUUUAUUAAUUUGAUUUUUGCCCUUACUGAUCCAUAAUUUGGCAAACUUAUCCUCAGUUUAUUAGUUCCUCUGAUGCGUCACCAAAAUAAUUUUUAAAGCUUAAUAUUAAUUAAAACAAGGUGGAUUUGCCUCAGCAAAAUUGUCCUCAAAACCAAAAACUUGUGAAAUUCUGACACCAAAUUAUUUAAGAGGAAACAACGAAUCCCACAAUUAGAAACGGUCUAUAAAAAUUCCACCGUGUUUCUUUAUUACAUUGUCGCCUAUGCCAAAUAUUCCUUUUUACUGCCGGUGUAUAUAAGCCUCUCAAAGUUUUUCAGGUAGCUGCCUUUGGAAUCGUUAGUGUGAUUGUGGAGCCGCACCGGGUAGCUGGACACAAGUACCAGCUGAACGUUGCGAUGCAAAUGGAAAAAUUGCUAAUAAACCUUUAGGAGCGAUUUUUAGUACUGAUCUUUUACAUACGCUUCCCGUAACAGGAGCCGCUAUACUUGGAGUAUGGAUUUUACUAAAACGGAAUCACAGUUACGUUACGUUUAAAGAGGCAUUGGAUGGAAAACGAGUAAACUGUGUGCUAUUGGAUAUGGCUCCUAUGGAAUAAAUGCUCUUUUUUUAUACACUAUGCCACUGCAGUUAAUCCUUUUUAAUCCUUUGAGCAUUAUGAUACAGACUGGAGAAAGCAAAUGGGAUAUUUAACGGUGCAUCCUACAGCUCCUAUCAGGAUCGAUCAAUUUUCGCUAAAUUGUAUUUGCUUCAAAUUUGCUUCC